rnacentral:lncRNA from 1 species
AGUGGGGUCUGGCUACGGCGGAACAGAGCUUCGAAGAAAGAACAAAACAGAGCUGCAGGAAAGAGCUGCCUGGAGUUGAGAAAGAGAGAGACUUUACAUACUCUUUCACUGGGGGUUACCUUUCCCACUUUGAGGCUGCCAAAGGAGAUGACUCGGAAAAAAACCAUUUUAUGCAAGUUGCCAAACCAGUAUAACAUUCACAAGACUUCAUUACCUCCUUGUACAUCUUCUUCAGUUAUUUGGUAUUUAAAUCAUUGUAUUUUGUUUUUUGAAUAUUGAAUGUUGGGUUCAAAUUUAAGUUUUUUCUCUCUAGAAUUAUCUACAUAUUCCACAUAUAAAAUGUCUAAUAGUUUGUGCAAAUUAAGAGACUAU